CACACACACACACACACACACACACACACACACGACUAGAGAUAUUUGAUUCUGGCAAGAACAUGGAGAACCUGUAUUCUCAUACACUGAGCAUGAAUGUAUAAACAGACACAACUUUUUUGGAAAUGACUCAGCAAUAUCUAUUAUAAUGUUAAAUGCUUACUUUUUCACUCAAUAAUUCCACAUUCAGACAUUUAACAUAUGGUAAAAAUAAAAUAUGCAUCUUGGCAAACUCAUAAAUGUCUUCAUUGGAGCAAGGUUAGUAGAAGUUGAAAACUGGAAACAACUCUAAUGCCCAUCCAAAUUGUACUGUAAGCCGGUCAUGGUGGCUCACACCUGUAAUCCCAGAACUCAAGAGAAUGAGGUAGGAGGGUUGAGAGUUUGAGGUAACCUAGAUUACACAGUAAGACCCUGUCUCAAAAAGUAACAAAACAAAGAAACAAGCAAAUAAAACCUGUAUUAUAAUAAUUUGGUGAAAUAUACCAAAACUAUCUAGGAAUGAUAGUGAAUGCCUGUAACCCUAGUACUUGAGAAAAGCAGUAAGGAGGAUCGGGAUGCUGAGGCCAAUCUAGCUGCACAGUGGGUCUGAGUCCAAGCCCAGUCCAACCUUCUUAAAAAGACACUUGUCUC